GGAGAGGUGUCCGAGUGGUUGAAGGAGCACGCCUGGAGAGCGUGUGAGCGGGAAACUGCUCCCCGGGUUCGAAUCCCGGCCUCUCCGCCA
rnacentral:tRNA from 1 species